CCUAAGGUCACGAAACACCAAAGAUCGG
rnacentral:sRNA from 1 species